rfam:Aedes albopictus isolate Foshan contig60509, whole genome shotgun sequence.
UAGCCUAGUGGUUAAGGCUAUGGAUCGCCAAUCCAGAGACGGCGGGUUCGAUUCCCGC